GAAGGGAAACCGAGUCUUAACUGGGCGUUAAGUUGCAGGGUAUAGACCCGAAACCCGGUGAUCUAGCCAUGGGCAGGUUGAAGGUUGGGUAACACUAACUGGAGGACCGAACCGACUAAUGUUGAAAAAUUAGCGGAUGACUUGUGGCUGGGGGUGAAAGGCCAAUCAAACCGGGAGAUAGCUGGUUCUCCCCGAAAGCUAUUUAGGUAGCGCCUCGUGAAUUCAUCUCCGGGGGUAGAGCACUGUUUCGGCAAGGGGGUCAUCCCGACUUACCAACCCGAUGCAAACUGCGAAUACCGGAGAAUGUUAUCACGGGAGACACACGGCGGGUGCUAACGUCCGUCGUGAAGAGGGAAACAACCCAGACCGCCAGCUAAGGUCCCAAAGUCUAUAUUAAGUGGGAAACGAAGUGGGAAGGCUUAGACAGCUAGGAUGUUGGCUUAGAAGCAGCCAUCAUUUAAAGAAAGCGUAAUAGCUCACUGGUCGAGUCGGCCUGCGCGGAAGAUGUAACGGGGCUAAACCAUGCACCGAAGCUGCGGCAGCGACACUAUGUGUUGUUGGGUAGGGGAGCGUUCUGUAAGCCUGUGAAGGUGGCCUGUGAGGGUUGCUGGAGGUAUCAGAAGUGCGAAUGCUGACAUAAGUAACGAUAAAGCGGGUGAAAAGCCCGCUCGCCGGAAGACCAAGGGUUCCUGUCCAACGUUAAUCGGGGCAGGGUGAGUCGACCCCUAAGGCGAGGCCGAAAGGCGUAGUCGAUGGGAAACAGGUUAAUAUUCCUGUACUUGGUGUUACUGCGAAGGGGGGACGGAGAAGGCUAUGUUGGCCGGGCGACGGUUGUCCCGGUUUAAGCGUGUAGGCUGGUUUUCCAGGCAAAUCCGGAAAACCAAGGCUGAGGCGUGAUGACGAGGCACUACGGUGCUGAAGCGACAAAUGCCCUGCUUCCAGGAAAAGCCUCUAAGCAUCAGGUAACAUCAAAUCGUACCCCAAACCGACACAGGUGGUCAGGUAGAGAAUACCAAGGCGCUUGAGAGAACUCGGGUGAAGGAACUAGGCAAAAUGGUGCCGUAACUUCGGGAGAAGGCACGCUGAUAUGUAGGUGAAGCGACUUGCUCGUGGAGCUGAAAUCAGUCGAAGAUACCAGCUGGCUGCAACUGUUUAUUAAAAACACAGCACUCUGCAAACACGAAAGUGGACGUAUACGGUGUGACGCCUGCCCGGUGCCGGAAGGUUAAUUGAUGGGGUUAGCGGCAACGCGAAGCUCUUGAUCGAAGCCCCGGUAAACGGCGGCCGUAACUAUAACGGUCCUAAGGUAGCGAAAUUCCUUGUCAGGU
rnacentral:rRNA from 1 species